AUUGAACGCUGGCGGCAGGCCUAACACAUGCAAGUCGAGCGGAUGAAGGGAGCUUGCUCCUGGAUUCAGCGGCGGACGGGUGAGUAAUGCCUAGGAAUCUGCCUGGUAGUGGGGGAUAACGUCCGGAAACGGGCGCUAAUACCGCAUACGUCCUGAGGGAGAAAGUGGGGGAUCUUCGGACCUCACGCUAUCAGAUGAGCCUAGGUCGGAUUAGCUAGUUGGUGGGGUAAAGGCCUACCAAGGCGACGAUCCGUAACUGGUCUGAGAGGAUGAUCAGUCACACUGGAACUGAGACACGGUCCAGACUCCUGCGGGAGGCAGCAGUGGGGAAUAUUGGACAAUGGGCGAAAGCCUGAUCCAGCCAUGCCGCGUGUGUGAAGAAGGUCUUCGGAUUGUAAAGCACUUUAAGUUGGGAGGAAGGGCAGUAAGUUAAUACCUCGCUGUUUUGACGUUACCAACAGAAUAAGCACCGGCUAACUUCGUG
rnacentral:rRNA from 1 species